GACGAACGCUGGCGGCGUGCCUAACACAUGCAAGUCGAACGGAGAUUUCAGCAAUGAAGUCUUAGUGGCGAACGGGUGAGUAACGCGUAGACAACCUACCUUCUAGAUGGGGACAACACUGCGAAAGUGGUGCUAAUACCGAAUGUUGUAUUAAGGGUGCAUAUCCUAAAUACUAAAGGUGGCCUCUGAACAUGCUACCACUAGAAGAUGGGUCUGCGUCUGAUUAGCUAGUUGGUGAGGUAAUGGCUCACCAAGGCGACGAUCAGUAGCCGGUCUGAGAGGAUGAACGGCCACACUGGGACUGAGACACGGCCCAGACUCCUACGGGAGGCAGCAGUGGGGAAUCUUCCGCAAUGGACGAAAGUCUGACGGAGCAACGCCGCGUGAGUGAAGAAGGUUUUCGGAUCGUAAAACUCUGUUUUCAGGGAAGAAUGUGCUGAUCGUGAAUAAUGGUUGGUAAUGACGGUACCUGACAAGAAAGCCACGGCUAACUACGUGCCAGCCGCCGCCGUAAAAC
rnacentral:rRNA from 1 species